rnacentral:lncRNA from 1 species
GUAAAUUGCAAAUACCACCCCUGUGUAAUACGUAAUUGUCAAAUACCCCCUGUCAAAUAAAAAUUCACUCAUACCUUCCCUGUGUAAUCAAAGUCAAAGCAUUGAGACCCCUGGAAUCGAAUCGUGUCUCACACGCGCGAGUAGUGCGAUUUUUCCUUCACUUUUGCUGUGGGAAAUGACAGAGUUGCCCCCCACAUCUUUUUCUUUUCUUCUUUGUUCGUCAUCUUCCUCACGAAUCGACCCCCUGCGUCAAAAACUCCCAAUCCAUGGUUGUCGAAACUCCAGCUGUGGAUUUGCAGUCAUCUUCGCCGGUAAACCAUGGCCGUCGUCUUCAAUCGCCAGCGGUGGAUUUUGUGUAACAAUAGCUAUUAAAGAAGUCGACAAAAUCAACUUCUGCAAAGGAUAAAUGGGCAUUCGAAUCUCAAGUGAAUUCCACCUUCACGGUGAGUUCUUCGCCUACCAUUUGAAGCAAUUUUUUUACCGCAUUCCAACACGAUUGCACCCCUCUGAUGUCCAAUUUCUCCAGGAACGACGAUGUCUUGCUCGCGGUUGUGGGCGGUGGAUCUUAAACACACGAUGGUGUGGUGCAAGAGGGGUGAAUUGAUGGUGAUGGGCGGAGCGGACGGAGGUCUGGAAGAAAUGGUGAAUGGAGUUGUGAGUUUGGUUGGGUGGGUG